UACAGUAGUAGGGCGUAUUCCCGGCAAACGUUUUUCGGCUUGCCGAGAAUACGCCACAUCUGACACCAGCCUUAAGGGCUGUUAAAAUGCCUGGGUGAGUGGAUGUAAGGACCAGUUCGACAUUUGCUUAUAGUGAAACUGAUUUGGAGCAUAUAUCGAGUCAAGACGACCAACUGAAAUUAAAUUUUGGAGUUGGCGAUACAGAUGAACCUGCAUUUGCACUAUUGCAGCUUGAGAAAAAGACUGACAUUUAAGACUACAUCGUUCAACACUAACGGAGUAUGUUUGCAAUGGCAAAAUUCCUAGAGGCUUAAGAGUGAAUAGUUAGCCAGCUAGUCAUUGGGAAACAUGGAUCUCCUGCCGUAAAAUUGGUGCGGGUGAGUUACCUAUUACAGGAGAUAGAGAUAUACAAUAAGGCCGGCCGUUACAGAGAAACCGAGGCACAAGGAGCUCAAGACUGAAGAAACGGAUACAAAAAGGUCUGAUCCAGGUUACGCAAAUUCAGCCUUUUCUCCUUGAGACGGAAAUGGAA